rnacentral:ncRNA from 1 species
GCCCGGGGCCGUGACUGGCGCUGAGGUGGAGUACCACCGGGGAGCGGUCCACGCAGAGUCGAUGCCGCGCGCCUGGGCGAUCCGG